rnacentral:lncRNA from 1 species
GAGAAGCCGGAGGAGGUGCUCCGGCAGCCAGACUGCCGGCUGCGAGUAGCACGAGUCUGGUCCUGCCCUGGGCGGGCACUGGUGCCCCCACCCCCUUCCAACCCCGGCACCCCCGUCCCACCCUGGGCUCGGGGAACUCGAACUCCAGCCCACAGGGCCAGGAGCUGCAUCCCCAGCCGCACGGACCAUCCUGACAAGACUCACUGGUCACAGACGGUCCCAACCCAACUAACAUGGGAGACCCCAGCCCCCCAGCCGGUGUGCUCAGAGGAGCCGCGCAGGGGCCGGAGCUUGCGUGGUGCUCUGUGGAGAGGGUGGACCCACUCGUCCCAGCCGCGUGGCCUCCUGCUGGGGCCAGGCUGCGCUUGGGGCUGGUGGGAGAGACUGGGCAAGGAAGUGGUCAGCCUGUCCUGGUUGGGGGGCCGGCUGCCCUGCCCACAGAAAUGGAGGUGUGAGGAGCCCCGACCGGGCCAGCCUUUGGGCUCUCAGGGAUCCCUGGGAGGGGAUGCCGCCGAGCCUGAGUGCCGGCGUCCCCUGGGCUUCCUGUUGGGAGGGAGGCUCCAGGGGGAGGGGGCUCCUCCCCAGCGUUUCCCCAGCCUGGGGCCGCUGACUCACACCCACGCCCAGGGCCCCGUCCCAGCCAGCUCUGCCACACUGGCCCGACUGGUUUGCCUGGCCCAGCCCUGCCAGCGCACCUCCUCCCGCUCAGCUCUUGCCCCACAGGCCACAGAGGGAGGUAGACAGCCGGUCACCACCUGGGCAUCGCGGGUGGACACACAGAGAGGGAGACCGGCCGUGGCGAGGAAGGGGCGCCGGGUGAGGGCAGUGUUAGGGCUGGGGUCCGGCGGGCAGGCUGCGCUGCGAACAGAGCUUCAGGCGCCUGGGCUCCCCAGCGCGGCGCUCCGGAGCCGGCGCAGGGCGGUCCUGCCGCGACCGCUCACCGGCGCCCCCUGCGGCGCCCCGUGGGGUGGCUGCGUCCGCUGUAGAGGACCGGCCGGCCGCCUGCUCGUUACAGCUUCCCCGCGGGGGCGCUCCCGAACAGCCGGGACGCAGAAGCCCCUCUGGUGGCCUGUGAACGCCUCCUGA